rnacentral:lncRNA from 1 species
CUUUAUUUACGGGGUUGUGCAUGGACGACCAGGUCGUGGCGACCCAUGAAAACCUUGGCCUCGUUGUUUAUCCAUAGCAUCGACCGACUGGCAGAGGUGCCCCUGGACAGAAAAAGUGCUCGUCCAACCAGGCCGAAACCCUGGGACUACUGUAGAGGCACAGAUAACGACGGGCCUCUGCGGCCAGGUGCGGACCAAAGCGGUCGGUGGCAAAGGCCAAGAGACCCGCAUGGUCUGUCCGACAGGCAACCUCGGCCAGAAACAGACCAUUGCCCAGCAAGCCCGACUGCGCCAGGCGCUCGCACAUCGGGGCGACAUUGUGGGCGCCACCGCGCCACUUGAUCAUAUGUUUGAGCGCGCCGGCGAGUUGUGAUGAGCCAAGGGACACACCUUGUGCGCACAAAAAGGAUACUGCAUCUACGUGACCACAGGCAAUGGCAUCGCAUAGGGCCCGCUUCAUGACAUCGGGCGCGUCGUUAAUGUUGCCACCCUCCAAGCGUCGGACAUCGCCCAAGAGCCACGCUAGGACAUCAGUGCGCCCGCCCUGACUGGCGCGGAUCAAUGCGCGUGCCCACAGUGCCGCAUCGCGUCGCGCCGAGUGCGGCGGCAAGAGGGUCCAGGCGCGCGCCAGCGCCGACAGGUGGCCGUCGCCGGCGGCGGUGCGCACGAGUUGCUCGGCCACGAGGCCCGCAGCGGCGUCGGUUAGCAGCCCCCGAUCGUGGAGCCAAAACAUGACGUCGGGCCGUGAAGCGGUGACGGCACUCUCGGCCACGUGGGUAAAGGUCGGCGCGUCGACAUUGUACCGGGCAACGAUCGCCUCGAUGACAUCCAUACGGCCGGCCCUGGCAGCCGCGCAGAGCACGUCUGACAGCAACCCACCAAGUCGGUUGUGAAUGUCAACAAGGUAGAGCGCGGCCUCGACGUGACCAUGUUUGGCGGCCUCGACGGCGGCGUAUUCGACUGCCUGCCUGCGUGUCUCUUGCCGCUCGCAGAGAUUGUCGCACUCGCACGCAUAACCCAGGUCGCGCAUGUAGAGUGGGCACAGGCAGACGCCAGCAGGUUUGUCGCCGUCGGGGAUGCCUGUGAUUGCACAGGCAAAGACAAGUGCGUCGACGCGCCCGCGCUGCGCCGGCCCCAGCAUGAUCGUACCGUGGUCGACGCAGAGUCGGCGCGCCCAGCGGUUCCACACGGCGGCCAUGACCUCUACGGGUUCGUCCGUGUCAAACACGUUGGGCGGUUCGCGCUGGUCGGGCGUGUAGCGCCACAUGCGCCGCUGGGUGUCGGUGGCGGCCUCGUAAAAGAGCCGCGACGCCAACAUGCACGCAACAAAAUCGCGGGCGUCGUCGAUAUGGGCCAAGACGGCGGCGCGCAUCUCGACGGGCAACGUGGUCCAUGUCGCCAUUGUUGUUGCGGGGGCGCGACCAACGACAACAACGACAAAACAACAACUCGGGCGAAGAGGCAACAACACCUUGUGAAAAGAUCCUAGUUUGUUCGCCCUCUAUCUUUUUUUGCCUCUCUUUCGCCUUGAUUUGCAAACCGAAGCACCAACCACAAAAAAUAGUAUGUUGAACCCCC